UAUAGAACCCAGGCUGGCCUAAAACUCACAUGCUCCUGCUUCAGUACCAAUAGGUGGGCUGACAGUUUGUUCCCUGCAGAUGUCCUUCUUGGACUCCACGCAUGGAGAUGUUAUGCCCAUUGAUGUGCAGCGAUUGCCUUGGUGUGUGGAAGUGAGUUUUCUAAGAUACGAUGGGAAGGAGAGUCCAGAAGUGUUAGCAGCAAUAUUCCAGUGUAACUGUGAGUACAGAGCUUUGUCGUGAGAGGCACGUCGGACAUUUGGAACCCAAUAGGGAGGAAUAGAAGACACAGCAGAGUGACC